rnacentral:rRNA from 1 species
AGAGUUUGAUCCUGGCUCAGGACGAACGCUGGCGGCGUGCCUAAUACAUGCAAGUCGGGCGGUUUUUACCUUCGGGUAAGAGUAGCGGCGGACGGGUGAGUAACACGUAGGUAACCUGCCUAACAGACUGGGAUAACUACCGGAAACGGUAGCUAAGACCGGAUACGUCAACUAUGGGGCAUCUUGUGGUUGAGAAAAGCGGAGCAAUCUGCUACUGGUAGAUGGACCUGCGGCGCAUUAGCUAGUUGGUGAGGUAGAGGCUCACCAAGGCGACGAUGCGUAGCCGACCUGAGAGGGUGAACGGCCACACUGGGACUGAGACACGGCCCAGACUCCUACGGGAGGCAGCAGUAGGGAAUCUUCGGCAAUGGACGAAAGUCUGACCGAGCAACGCCGCGUGAGUGAUGAAGGUUUUCGGAUCGUAAAACUCUGUUGCCAGGGAAGAAUGAUGUGGAGAGUAACUGCUCUGCAUAUGACGGUACCUGAGAAGAAAGCCCCGGCUAACUACGUGCCAGCAGCCGCGGUAAUACGUAGGGGGCAAGCGUUGUCCGGAAUUAUUGGGCGUAAAGCGCGCGCAGGCGGUCCAUUAAGUCUGGUGUAUAAACCAAAGGCUCAACCUUUGGACGCAUUGGAAACUGUUGGACUGGAGUGUAGGAGAGGAAAGUGGAAUUCCACGUGUAGCGGUGAAAUGCGUAGAGAUGUGGAGGAACACCAGUGGCGAAGGCGACUUUCUGGCCUAUAACUGACGCUGAGGCGCGAAAGCGUGGGGAGCAAACAGGAUUAGAUACCCUGGUAGUCCACACCGUAAACGAUGAUUACUAGGUGUUGGAGGAUUGACCCCUUCAGUGCCGCAGUUAACACAAUAAGUAAUCCACCUGGGGAGUACGACCGCAAGGUUGAAACUCAAAGGAAUUGACGGGGGCCCGCACAAGCAGUGGAGUAUGUGGUUUAAUUCGACGCAACGCGAAGAACCUUACCAAGUCUUGACAUCCUGCGACGCACAUAGAAAUAUGUGUUUCCUUCGGGACGCAGAGACAGGUGGUGCAUGGUUGUCGUCAGCUCGUGUCGUGAGAUGUUGGGUUAAGUCCCGCAACGAGCGCAACCCUUACUGUCAGUUACUACGCAAGAGGACUCUGGCAGGACUGCCGUUGACAAAACGGAGGAAGGUGGGGAUGACGUCAAAUCAUCAUGCCCUUUAUGACUUGGGCUACACACGUACUACAAUGGCGUUAAACAAAGAGAAGCAAGACCGCGAGGUGGAGCAAAACUCAGAAACAACGUCCCAGUUCGGACUGCAGGCUGCAACUCGCCUGCACGAAGUCGGAAUUGCUAGUAAUCGUGGAUCAGCAUGCCACGGUGAAUACGUUCCCGGGCCUUGUACACACCGCCCGUCACACCAUGAGAGCCGGGGGGACCCGAAGUCGGUAGUCUAACCGCAAGGAGGACGCCGCCGAAGGUAAAACUGGUGAUUGGGGUGAAGUCGUAACAAGGUA